CCUACGGGCGGCAGCAGUGGGGAAUAUUGCACAAUGGGGGAAACCCUGAUGCAGCGACGCCGCGUGAGUGAAGAAGUAUUUCGGUAUGUAAGGUUCUAUCAGCGGGGAAGAAAAUGACGAUACCUGAUUAAGAAGCCCCUGCUAACUACGUGCCAGCAGCCGCGGUAAUACGUAGGGGGCAAGCGUUAUCCGGAUUUACUGGGUGUAAAGGGAGCGUAGACGGCAGCACAAGUCUGGUGUGAAAUGCCGGGGCUUAACCCCGGAACUGCUUUGGAAACUGGGCAGCUAGAGUGCAGGAGAGGGGAGUAGAAUUCCAAGUGGAGCGGUGAAAUGCGUAGAGAUUAGGAGGAACACCAGUGGCGAAGGCGGCUUCCUGGACGGUAACUGACGUUGAGGCGCGAAAGCGUGGGGAGCAAACAGGAUUAGAUACCCUAGUAGUC
rnacentral:rRNA from 1 species